CUUCUGCUUUUUUUCCCAAGGUUGAAGAAUAGAUUCUGUGUCUACAUUGCGGGUUUGCACAUACAUAAAAAUUAUUUCGAUUAAUUAUUUGGAUUAGCCAGGAACCUUUAUUUUAACCGCGUUUGCGUCGGAAGAAUUCAACUGAAAUCCCAAACAAAUUCUUAGCCAAAUCCAUGAGUUUUUACUUUCGGUUUCGAUUUGAAGGCGAAACAGGGAUAAGCUAAUUCAGGAUCUAGUUACAUUUGUUUCUGCACUGUUUCUUGAACUCGGACACAUUUAGGACGAUUCUUUGACAAUGACGAAAGUUUCAUGUGUCACGAUUCUGACUUUUUUAACUUUGGUUGAAUCCUCAACAAGAACCUACUACAUCGGAAUCCGCGAGGAAAAGUGGAAUUAUGCUCCCGGUGGGCGAAAUCUAAUUACCGGCACUGGUAUCAAUCAUCAUUUACAAGAUGGCAGUUGUUAUGAAAACUUUAUUGAGUAUAAAAAAGCUCUGUAUAAAGAGUACACAGAUGGGACUUUUACCACUGAGGUGCCCAAACCAAAAUGGCUGGGAUUUGUUGGACCUGUGAUUCGUGCAGCAGUGGGUGAUGAUAUUGUAGUGCAUAUGAAGAACUUUGCAACUCGGCCCUAUUCAAUCCAUCCACAUGGAGUUUACUAUAAGAAGGAUUCUGAAGGUGCAUGGUAUCCGGAUGGUACAUCUGCUGCGAAUAAGAGUGAUGAUUCUGUGGCUCCAGGACAGUCUUACACAUACACAUGGAAGGUGACAGAAGAGUUUGCUCCUAAAGAGACUGACUCCUCCUGUCUUACAUCGAUGUAUCACUCACAUGUAAAUGCAGUGAAAGACAUAGCAUCAGGACUCAUUGGAGUGCUGCUUAUAUGCAAGAAGGAUUCAAUCAGACGUCUUCAUUCAGAAGAGUUUUUCCUGAUGUUCAGUGCUGUGGAUGAAAAUCUAAGUUGGUAUAUUGAUGAUAAUUUGAAAGCGUUGUGCCCUAAAGCUACUUUGCAGUUGAAAGAUGAUGACAACUUUCAGAAUUCAAAUCAGCUACACUCAAUAAAUGGUUUUGUUUAUGGUAACUUACCAACCCUGGAAGUGUGUAUCGGAACCCCUGUAUUUUGGCAUGUUUUUGGUAUCGGAAAUACCAUUGAUCUUCACUCUAUCCACUUUUUUGGCCACACCCUACUCAACCAAGGUCACCGCACUGAUGUCCUCAGUGUAUUUCCUGCCACUUCAGUCACUGCAGAAAUGGUUCCUAAGACAAUUGGAAAGUGGUUGUUUGGGUGUGUGGUUGAUGAUUACAUGGAUGAGAGUAUGCGGGGCUUUUUUAAUGUCUCUUCAUGUGAUAAACCUACGGCACCCACAGCGACCCCUGCUGGACACAUUAGACGUCAUUACAUUGCUGCCGAAGAGAUACUGUGGAAAUACGCCCCCUCAGGAAAGAACAUGCUUACCAAUACACCACUAAAUGCAAAAGACAGCGAUUCAGAGGAAUUCUUCAGUACAAAUAAGGGAAAAUUGGGAGGAGAGUACUGGAAGGUCAGAUACAUUGGGUACCACGAUGACACAUUUACUUCUAAGAUCGAACAGACUGGUUCAGAAAAACACCAAGGCAUUCUGGGUCCUGUGAUUAGGGGAGAACCUGGUGAUGUCAUUGAGGUGACAUUUCGAAAUAAGGCGACUCAUAACUUCAGCAUGCAACCUCACGGAGUGUCUUAUGACAAAUCUUAUGAAGGAGUCAUAUAUCAGGAUGGUUCUCAGAAACCAGGGGCCAGUGUGGCACCAGGUCAGACGUUUACAUAUCGAUGGCGUGUAACAGAAGGUCCCUCGCCCAGUGACCCACCCUGCUUGUCGUAUCUGUAUUAUUCUGGUACAAAUCCCACCAGUGAUACCAACUCCGGUUUGGUGGGACCGUUACAAAUUUGCAAGAAAGGAGUUUUGGAUGAGAGCGGUCGACAGCAUAGAGGAUCAGAGGUGCAGAAAGAGUUCUUCCUUCUGUUCAAUGUGAUGGAUGAGACCGAAAGCUGGUAUCUGCAGAAAAAUAUUGAGCAGUUUGGUAGUGAUGAGACAGAAAAAGAUGACCAACAAUUUCAGGAGAGCAACAAAAUGAGCUCUGUAAAUGGCUUCAUGUAUGGAAAUCUUCCUGAACUUAAUUUGUGUGAGGGGGACCAUGUUGUGUGGCACCUGAUGGCAUUGGGCUCAGUGCAUCUCUAUAGCGUUUACUUCCAGGGCAACACGAUUCAGCUGGACAACACUACACGGGACACGGUUAAUCUCUUCCCGCACUCUAGUGUUACCGUCUCCAUGAAACCUGACAAUGACGGACUUUUUGAGCUGAGCUCUCUUACAAAUGAUGACUAUCGUGGUGGCAUGCGGCAGCUGUACAUGGUAAAACGCUGCACAUUGAGUCAGAACCAAGAGAGUACCUUUCAGCCCGAUGUGUAUUUCUACUUGGCUGCUGAAGAGGUGGAGUGGAAUUACGCCCCAAACCGGACAUGGGAGUUGGAGAAACAUAACAAUACUUUUGAUGAAAGUAAAAGAAAGAUUUACCUUGAGGAUUGGAUUGGGUCUGUUUACAGAAAGGUGGUUUACCGUAGGUACAAGGAUGAGACUUUCACAGAACAGGAUACCAGGGGUUCUGAUGAAGAGCAUUUAGGCAUUUUGGGUCCCAUUCUCAGGGUGCAAGUUGGUGAGAAGGUCCAGGUUGUAUUUAAAAACAAAGCCACUAGGCCCUAUUCAGUUCACGCUCAUGGAGUGAAGGCCAGUUUGGCCAAACCUGUUGAACCAGGAAGCACAACAAGGUAUAACUGGACAAUCAGUUCAGGUCCUGGACCCACUGAAUCAACUUGCACGACCUAUGCCUAUUACUCAUCAGCCAGCUUUCUUAAGGAUUUGGCAAGUGGCUUAAUCGGACCAUUAGUGGUGUGUCGAAAGGGGACUCUGAACAAGACGAGACAGCGGACAGAUGUGGAUAAAGAAUUUGCUCUGCUCUUCAUGGUGUUUGAUGAGAAUGAAUCAUGGUAUCUAAAGGAUAACAUACAAAAUGACCUAAAGAAAGACCCUGAAACUUUUAACACUGACAGUGAGGGUUUCAUGGAAAGUAACAUGAUGCAUGGUAUUAAUGGAAAGCUGUACGCUAACCUACAUGGUCUGAGGAUGCGGCAGGGAGAUCGGACCGAAUGGUAUUUAAUGGCACUGGGGAAUGACGAAAUGUACACAGUGCACUUUCACGGUCAGAGUUUCGUAUACAAGACGGAUCACCCCCACAGAGCUGAUGUGUAUGGAUUGUUCCCUGGGACCUUUAAGACUAUUGAACUACAGGCAGGAACUCCAGGAACUUGGCUUCUCCAUUGUCAUGUGAUGGAUUCCAUGGACUCUGGCAUGGAGACAACUUUUACCAUUGAAGCUGCAAAUUCCACACCCCGGACAAAUGAGACUUUUGGGACACCCUGUAUUCAUGUUUCCAGAUUUAAAACAUAAAUUCAAGUGGUAGAUGCCCCUUACUGCUCCAAUGACCACAGCAAGGAAAAGUGUCAGGUUUUUGCAAUUGAUUUAUCGAAUGCUGCUGGCCAUCACGCUCACCUUCUGGCUUGGGUAAUUCUACAAGGAAUUCACGUCACAACUACUUGUAUUUAGUUUUUUAAGCUGUGAGCUAAAUACAGUUGAAAAAAGAUCAGAACAGUAAAGAGAUGCGGCAUGCUGUUUGAACGGGUCAUACAACAGUAUUAGUUUUUAUGCUUUAAUUUUAAAAAACAAAAGGGUCUCCCAUAAUGUUACAUUUACGGCAUGUACACAUUCAUAUUUUUCUCACAGCAUGUAAAUGUUGAUGAACACUCAACCAUGAAAGAGAAUUACCGUAUAUCCGGACUAUGCUACUUUUUUCCCACGCUUUGAACCCUGCGGCUUAAACAACGAAGUGGCUAUUUUAUGGAUUUUUUCGGGGUUUUUCCUGGUUUCACAAACUUCAUGCCAAAAAACUGAGCCCCAUAAUAUU